GGGAAUUAGUCCAGAAUAAGACUCUGGCUUCGACCCAGAAGACCGUGGGGUGGUACCACGAUUCCCG
rnacentral:tRNA from 1 species